GAGGAUGGCUCUGCGGCUUAUCAGGUUGUAGUGAGGGUAACGUCCUCACUAGCCUAUGACGGGUACGGGCCCUGAGAGGGGAAGCCCGGAGAUGGACUCUGAGACACGAGUCCAGGCCCUACGGGGCGCAGCAGGCGCGAAAACUCCGCAAUGCUCGAAAGAGUGACGGGGGGAUUCCAAGUGCCUACGCUCAGCGUAGGCUGUUCAGAUGCCUAAAAAGCAUCUGGAGUAAGGGCUGGGUAAGACGGGUGCCAUCUGUGGCAGCAGCCGAAAAUUUGGCUUGCUACUGCAAGGCAUAAGCCGCCGCGGUAAUACCCGCAGCUCGAGUGGUAGUCGAUUUUAUUGGGCCUAAAGCGUCCGUAUCCGGUCUGGUAAAUGCUUGGGUAAAUCGUCUGGCUUAACCAGAUGAAUUCCGGGUAGACUACCAGACUUGGGACCGGUUGAGGAAGAGGGUACUUCAGGGGUAGGAGUGAAAUCCUGUAAUCCUUGAAGGACCACCAGUGGCGAAGGCGCUCUUCUAGGACGGGUCCGACGGUGAGGGACGAAAGCCAGGGGAGCAAACCGGAUUAGAUACCCGGGUAGUCCUGGCCGUAAACGAUGUGGGCUUGGCAUUGGGGGUUCUACGUGAGCGCCCAGUGUCG
rnacentral:rRNA from 1 species